GUGGGGAAUAUUGCACAAUGGGCGCAAGCCUGAUGCAGCCAUGCCGCGUGUGUGAAGAAGGCCUUCGGGUUGUAAAGCACUUUCAGCGGGGAGGAAGGCGAUAAGGUUAAUAACCUUGUCGAUUGACGUUACCCGCAGAAGAAGCACCGGCUAACUCCGUGCCAGCAGCCGCGGUAAUACGGAGGGUGCAAGCGUUAAUCGGAAUUACUGGGCGUAAAGCGCACGCAGGCGGUCUGUCAAGUCGGAUGUGAAAUCCCCGGGCUCAACCUGGGAACUGCAUUCGAAACUGGCAGGCUAGAGUCUUGUAGAGGGGGGUAGAAUUCCAGGUGUAGCGGUGAAAUGCGUAGAGAUCUGGAGGAAUACCGGUGGCGAAGGCGGCCCCCUGGACAAAGACUGACGCUCAGGUGCGAAAGCGUGGGGAGCAAACAGGAUUAGAUACCCUAGUAGUCC
rnacentral:rRNA from 1 species